rnacentral:rRNA from 1 species
UACGUAGGGACCAAGCGUUGUUCGGAUUUACUGGGCGUAAAGGGCGCGUAGGCGGCGUGACAAGUCACUUGUGAAAUCUCUGGGCUUAACCCAGAACGGCCAAGUGAAACUGUCGUGCUAGAGUGCGGAAGGGGCAAUCGGAAUUCUCGGUGUAGCGGUGAAAUGCGUAGAUAUCAGGAGGAACACCGGUGGCGAAGGCGGGUCUCUGGGCAACAACUGACGCUGAGGAGCGAAAGCGUGGGGAGCGAACAGG